ACUCUAUGGUUGGGGCAUUUGCAUAACAACUCCUUGUACCGCUCCUAGCUUCAUGUAAACUUUCAUCAUCAAACAUCUGAAAAGAUGCGAUAUCUGCUCUGAUU